GAAGACACACCCCUUUGACAGGUAGACAGGAAGCACUAUUGGCAGGGAGCAGCUGCGAAGCAAUCCUAGUUGCCGUCAUUGGGGUGCUGGCAUAGUACUGGUCCUGCAGGUUUCUAACUUGUCAUCCUAGCUGGUAAUGUCUCCUGGUUUUUAUGGAAGGCUUAAUUGGAGAGUGUCUGAUGCCUGAAGGACUUUCCUGGUUGACGACCUUGAAAAUGGUGAAAGAAAGAAAUUGAAACCAGUCUCACUGAUUGGGAAGGCCUCACUGAGCUGACCCGUGAACAAAGACCUACAUGAAGUGAUAAGCAGAUAUCUGGGACAAGCAUUCCAGGCACAGGGAACAGCAUGUGCAAAACCCCAGAGACAAGAGUAUCCCUGGAGUGUGAAAGGACUACAAGUCUUGGAGCUUUGGGAGUGAAGGUCCGCUAAUCCCUACGUAUGGGUUCAGUGAGACUCUAUCAAAUUGAAACAAACUGCAGGAACAGACACUUUUUCUCAGUGCAUGGCUGCCACUCUUGGAGAGCAGGAAAGAUGUACAGUAGGAGCACCUGAGCGGCUCUUCACCACAGCUCAGGAGGGGAGGGGAGGACUCUGAGGCUCAGGAGGAGAGGGGAGGACUCCAUGGCUCAGGAAAAGUGGGAAGAAUACCACAAAGUCUGUGCAAGUUUUACUUGGCAAGUGGCAUUUCCCUGGGUGAUCCUGAGACACAGACUUCUUCUGUCUUACCUGCCAUCCCUUGGAUCUUACAUUAUCUGCAUCAAGUGGGCAGAAUGGAAAGAGAAUAGGAAGUUCCGAUCUAGAAGGCAUAUUUCUGCACAUAUUCCAAUUGUGAGAACAAGCCACAUGGCCACACUGGCCACACUUAGAAGCAAACAAAGCUGGGAAACAUGGUCUCUGGCUGGGCAGCCAGUUAUCAGCAGUAACUCUCUUCAGAUGCUCUUCAAC
rnacentral:lncRNA from 1 species